GGAAGCGCGCAGUGAUGGAGGAAGGGAAGGCGGAGGCAGAGUGGGGCGCCUGAGACCUGGCUAACCCCUGCUGUGAACUCUGGGGGCGGGGGGAGGAGGGUCUAAGAGAGCAGAAGGAAGGUUUCCAUGAGACAGGCCCUCGCCUCAACCCGGGGAUCCUGGUGCGCCUCCUCCAAGGCGGCCACGAGGGGGCGCCGCGGCCGCGCCUGCGAACUCACCUGUGCAGAAGCAGGCAUGCGGCUGUUCUCAGCCGGCGGGAUCCAGCGGGCAGGUGUGGGUUCGAGCGCGCAGAGCUUCCUGACUUUCGGUCCCCCAGCGCGGGUGUCCAGGCCCGGGGGGUGGGGGGACUGGCUUGGGGGCUGAGCCCCUCAGGUGGAGCCAUCGCACUGUGUCUCCUUGAAACCAGGCUCUGAGCAGAGAGAGACACAGAGAUGUGUGGGCGCUUCUCCCGCUGGGGGACGUCCUCCUGCGUGUCACUCUCAGGCGGGCGCAGCCGGCCGGGUGUUGACCGCCGCGUGGGCGCCCCGACGGGCGGAGGGAGAGGGAAGACGAGCGAGUGAGGCAUGUGUGUUCCGCCGAGGACCUACUGACCCUCUGUGAUUUUCCUCAAGUAUGCGCAGUUCGGCUGCGCUUGUGCUCUCUCGAGGGGAGCCACACCAUUAUGGACUCACAGGAACUGGAUUUACUCUCUUGUCUGAAACAAUAAAACAAAACCACACAAGAUAUACAAAAUGCAGAUUUCCAAGAUACUGGGCAUCAGGCAAAAGAGGACAGCAAUUCCACACUUGGAAACACACAGAAUGUUCAACAGGUAAAUGGAAAAUGUGAAAAAGACCCAAUCUCCUGUUAAGUGAUGAAAACCACAAUGCCUGAAGAGAAAUGUACUGCAAGGGGUUGACAGCAACAGAAAAUGCAGAAAAAGAACAUUUCAUAGGACUUGUUUUGAAUCUGCAGACCCCUUUGGUUAGUAUUGCCCCCCUCACUCUGUAAAAUCUAAUCCAUAAACACAGGAUGUCUUACUGUUUCUUUAGUUUUCUCUAAUCUCUUACAGCAGUGUUCUAUAGUUUUCACUGUAAAGGUCUUUGCCUCCUUGAAUCAGUUCAUUUCUAGAUAUUUUAUUGUUUUGAGUGCUAUUAUAAGUGCAGUUGUUUUCUUAAUUUCCUUUUCAGAUUGGUCUUUGUUAGUGUAGAGAAACACAACUGAAUUUUGUCUAUCUUGUCCUCUGCAACUUUACAGAAUUAGUUUAUUGACUCUAGUAUUUUUGUUUGUGAAGUACUCGGGAUUUUUCUCUAGAUAGGAGGAUGCCUUCCACAAAUAGAGAUAAUUUUAUUUAUUCCUUUCCACACUACUUUUGCUCAACUUCAAUUCUAAAAUAUAUUUGGGCUGGGUGUGGAAGCCUACACCUGCCACAGGCCACCCGUGGAUUUUUGGGUCAGAGAUGAACAGUGACAGGAGGUUGCCUAUUUUGGGUCACCUCAGCCUGGGGUCUUGGAUAAUCACACAGAGCCUGGCCAGGGAAUUAGAGACCAGCAGGAGUCCUUGUUCUUUGCAACCACCUCAAAAGGCAAGGACCAAAAGACCCCUUGAGGCCCCUACAGGGAGGGUUUCUGCCCUCCCCCCCGACCUGGGAAUGGCCCAGAAGUGAGAAGUCAGAAAAGGGAAGGGGACUGUGGUGGCUGCUGACUCCAGGCCAUGGGUGCCCCUGAAAGCUGUGCCUCAUUCCACCUUUAGAGAGCUCAUUCAAGCAGGGGCCUGGGUCAAGCAAUAAAGCAAGCAGUUAAAAAUAAUGCAGCUGGGAGGUACUGCCAGGACUAGCAUCAGCUGACACCUCAGAACUGACAAUACUUAGAAACAGGAGGGGGCCAAGACCGAUUAAAUCCCUUUAAAAAGGGGUGGAUUUUUGCAGCAAACUGUCAAACUCUUCAGACAUGACCUCUCUAUGUUGGACCACUUCUAAAAGGCAGCUGCCUCCAAAGGCUCUGCCCAAUUGAUCCUCAAACAGAACUGAGAUCCUUCACUGCUUGAACAUAAUAAGCAGUAAGUGCCACGAGCUGUCCUGGACCGGACCAAGGCCAGAAGGACUGCGUGCCCACAGACUGACUUCUACAACUUCUAUUACCUUGUUUGUUGUGUGGUUUGUCUUAUGUUCUGCUCUGUGUGCUGGGUAAGAAGCCAAGUUUAAUCACGUGGUGAAACUGAAUUUGGAACCCUGAAAGUGCUUUAUAAUUGUGAUUAACUUUGCUUUAUGAUCGAAUAAAGCUGACAUUGUGGA